rnacentral:lncRNA from 1 species
UUGCUAAUGAUGUUGGUGUUUUGUUGGUAACUAGUUUGAACUGGGUGAGCUUCGUGGUAGUAAGAAUUGCAGCGACUUCCGUUGUGGUUCAAAGAAUAUGGAGCCAGGCCAAAGAUUGUCUAUUUCUGAUUAGAUCUAGUAGUAUCCAAUUCUGUGAGAGAUGGGUGAGCAACAAUUGGGUUUUGGUUUGCACCGACGAGCCUUUGGUUGUUGGAGCUCAUUGGUUCGCGGAGAAAUCAGAAAAUCUGGCAAAAUCUUGGGACUUUAGUCAUUUUUCUUAGUGAUUCCAAAAAUUGAUUUGCCGGCGUUGGUGCAAUUCCUGCCUGGACUGGUAUUUGCUGGUACAUGGUGGUUUGGUAUCUGGUUCUAUGUGAUGUCUAGUUAGAGCUUGGAGCUCAUGGUGGUGUUGAUUUGUAAAGCCUCGCUGGAGUUCAUGGUUGUUGUUGUUAGUUGCACUAGAGGAACUUGUACUAGUUCACCGGGGUUCGAGGUUUCCGUUUCUCAGAGCUAGAGAUCGAAGCUCGCAGCUUCAUGAUGGUCCUCCAGUGGAUAUUUUGCUGGUGACUGGUUUGGAGUUUUGAGUUGUAAGUUGGGGUGGACAUUUGGUACUAUGUUCAAGGAGAGGAGAAGGUGGUUGGGUGUUGUUCCUUGUAAAAGAAAAAGAAAGAUCAUUUGGUGUUGAAAUGGUAGUGUUCUGGUUGUAGUGGUUGUCAUUGGUUGCCACCAUAGUUACUAGUGGUGGUUGUGAGUGAGGAAGAACAGAGAGGGUGGGGCAUGAAGAAUAGCGAGGAGGGAAAGACGACCAUUUGUUGGAAGCUCUAAAAUGGUAGGUUUUUCUUUUCUUUUUUUUUUUCCGCUUUGAUUUCCCUUCUUAUUUUAGUUAAAACUAGUAUACGUGUCCGCGCGUUGCUCGGUUAAUUGAUAAAUGUAAUCAUAAAUAUUAAUUUAUUGACAAUUUAAAAUUUUAACUUAUUAAAAGAUAAUAUUGAAAAUUU